ensembl:snRNA U6 U6 spliceosomal RNA
GUGCUCACUUCAGCAACACAUAUACUAAAAUUGGAAUGAUACAGAGAUUAGCCUGGCUCCUAUGCAAGGAUGACAUGCAAAUUGUGAAGUGUUCCCUAAGCGU